AUACGGAGGAUGCGAGCGUUAUCCGGAUUUAUUGGGUUUAAAGGGAGCGUAGGUGGGAUAUUAAGUCAGCUGUGAAAGUUUGGGGCUCAACCUUAAAAUUGCAGUUGAUACUGGUUUCCUUGAGUACGGUACAGGUGGGCAGAAUUCGUGGUGUAGCGGUGAAAUGCUUAGAUAUCACGAAGAACUCCGAUCGCGAAGGCAGCUCACCGGGCCGGAACUGACACUGAUGCUCGAAAGUGCGGGUAUCAAACAGGAUUAGAUACCCUGGUAGUCCGCACAGUAAACGAUGAAUACUCGCUGUUUGCGAUACACGGUAAGCGGCCAAGCGAAAGCGUUAAGUAUUCCACCUGGGGAGUACGCCGGCAACGGUGAAACUCAAAGGAAUUGACGGGG
rnacentral:rRNA from 1 species